rnacentral:rRNA from 1 species
GAUGAACGCUGGCGGCGUGCCUAAUACAUGCAAGUCGAGCGAACAGACGAGGAGCUUGCUCCUCUGACGUUAGCGGCGGACGGGUGAGUAACACGUGGAUAACCUACCUAUAAGACUGGGAUAACUUCGGGAAACCGGAGCUAAUACCGGAUAAUAUAUUGAACCGCAUGGUUCAAUAGUGAAAGACGGUUUUGCUGUCACUUAUAGAUGGAUCCGCGCCGCAUUAGCUAGUUGGUAAGGUAACGGCUUACCAAGGCAACGAUGCGUAGCCGACCUGAGAGGAUGAUCGGCCACACUGGAACUGAGCCACGGUCCAGACUCCGACGGGAGGCAGAAGUAGGGAAUCUUCCGCAAUGGGCGAAAGCCUGACGGAGCAAUGACGCGUGAGGGAUGAAGGUCUUCGGAUCGUAAAACUCUGUUAUUAGGGAAGAACAAAUGUGUAAGUAACUAUGCACGUCUUGACGGUACCUAAUCAGAAAGCCACGGCUAACUACGUG